rfam:Picea glauca, whole genome shotgun sequence.
GUACAUGCCUACAACAUAGCGCUAAUGCACCAUAUCCCAUUAGAACUCUGCAGUUAAGAGAACUCGAGCUAGAGUAGUACUAGGACUUGUGACCACUCGGGAAGUCUUAAUAGGUCAAUGCA